rnacentral:rRNA from 1 species
UACCAGCACCCCGAGUGGUCGGGACGAUUAUUGGGCCUAAAGCAUCCGUAGCCGGUCAUGCAAGUCCUCCGUUAAAUCCACCUGCUUAACAGAGUGGGCUGCGGAGGAUACUACAAGGCUAGGAGGCGGAAGAGGCAAGCGGUACUUAGUGGGUAGGGGUAAAAUCCUCUGAUCCAUUGAAGACCACCAGUGGCGAAGGCGGCUUGCCAAUACGCACUCGACGGUGAGGGAUGAAAGCUGGGGGAGCAAACCGG